rnacentral:rRNA from 1 species
CCCCGUACACAAAAAUGCACAUAUUGUGAGCUCGAUGAGUAGGGCGGGACACGUGGUAUCCUGUCUGAAUAUGGGGGGACCAUCCUCCAAGGCUAAAUACUCCUGACUGACCGAUAGUGAACCAGUACCGUGAGGGAAAGGCGAAAAGAACCCCGGCGAGGGGAGUGAAAAAGAACCUGAAACCGUGUACGUACAAGCAGUGGGAGCCUCUUUAUGGGGUGACUGCGUACCUUUUGUAUAAUGGGUCAGCGACUUAUAUUCUGUAGCAAGGUUAACCGAAUAGGGGAGCCGAAGGGAAACCGAGUCUUAACUGGGCGUUAAGUUGCAGGGUAUAGACCCGAAACCCGGUGAUCUAGCCAUGGGCAGGUUGAAGGUUGGGUAACACUAACUGGAGGACCGAACCGACUAAUGUUGAAAAAUUAGCGGAUGACUUGUGGCUGGGGGUGAAAGGCCAAUCAAACCGGGAGAUAGCUGGUUCUCCCCGAAAGCUAUUUAGGUAGCGCCUCGUGAAUUCAUCUCCGGGGGUAGAGCACUGUUUCGGCAAGGGGGUCAUCCCGACUUACCAACCCGAUGCAAACUGCGAAUACCGGAGAAUGUUAUCACGGGAGACACACGGCGGGUGCUAACGUCCGUCGUGAAGAGGGAAACAACCCAGACCGCCAGCUAAGGUCCCAAAGUCAUGGUUAAGUGGGAAACGAUGUGGGAAGGCCCAGACAGCCAGGAUGUUGGCUUAGAAGCAGCCAUCAUUUAAAGAAAGCGUAAUAGCUCACUGGUCGAGUCGGCCUGCGCGGAAGAUGUAACGGGGCUAAACCAUGCACCGAAGCUGCGGCAGCGACACUAUGUGUUGUUGGGUAGGGGAGCGUUCUGUAAGCCUGUGAAGGUGGCCUGUGAGGGUUGCUGGAGGUAUCAGAAGUGCGAAUGCUGACAUAAGUAACGAUAAAGCGGGUGAAAAGCCCGCUCGCCGGAAGACCAAGGGUUCCUGUCCAACGUUAAUCGGGGCAGGGUGAGUCGACCCCUAAGGCGAGGCCGAAAGGCGUAGUCGAUGGGAAACAGGUUAAUAUUCCUGUACUUGGUGUUACUGCGAAGGGGGGACGGAGAAGGCUAUGUUGGCCGGGCGACGGUUGUCCCGGUUUAAGCGUGUAGGCUGGUUUUCCAGGCAAAUCCGGAAAACCAAGGCUGAGGCGUGAUGACGAGGCACUACGGUGCUGAAGCGACAAAUGCCCUGCUUCCAGGAAAAGCCUCUAAGCAUCAGGUAACAUCAAAUCGUACCCCAAACCGACACAGGUGGUCAGGUAGAGAAUACCAAGGCGCUUGAGAGAACUCGGGUGAAGGAACUAGGCAAAAUGGUGCCGUAACUUCGGGAGAAGGCACGCUGAUAUGUAGGUGAAGCGACUUGCUCGUGGAGCUGAAAUCAGUCGAAGAUACCAGCUGGCUGCAACUGUUUAUUAAAAACACAGCACUGUGCAAACACGAAAGUGGACGUAUACGGUGUGACGCCUGCCCGGUGCCGGAAGGUUAAUUGAUGGGGUUAGCGGUAACGCGAAGCUCUUGAUCGAAGCCCCGGUAAACGGCGGCCGUAACUAUAACGGUCCUAAGGUAGCGAAAUUCCUUGUCGGGUAAGUUCCGACCUGCACGAAUGGCGUAAUGAUGGCCAGGCUGUCUCCACCCGAGACUCAGUGAAAUUGAACUCGCUGUGAAGAUGCAGUGUACCCGCGGCAAGACGGAAAGACCCCGUGAACCUUUACUAUAGCUUGACACUGAACAUUGAGCCUUGAUGUGUAGGAUAGGUGGGAGGCUUUGAAGUGUGGACGCCAGUCUGCAUGGAGCCGACCUUGAAAUACCACCCUUUAAUGUUUGAUGUUCUAACGUUGGCCCGUAAUCCGGGUUGCGGACAGUGUCUGGUGGGUAGUUUGACUGGGGCGGUCUCCUCCUAAAGAGUAACGGAGGAGCACGAAGGUUGGCUAAUCCUGGUCGGACAUCAGGAGGUUAGUGCAAUGGCAUAAGCCAGCUUGACUG